ACUACUAACCGAAUUUCACAAUAAUCGAAUUACCGAAUAAUAAAUUCGGGUAUUUUGGUUAAUAACCGAAUCUGUACUCCAUAUUAUCAUUUAUCAAUAAAAAAAAAAGAACCAUUUAAAAUUGACAAUACUAAAAACAAAAGAAUUCAAAUUACACCCCACAUGUUUAUCCAAUCAUACAACUUGAGAUCAUGAAUAUUGGGAUUGGAGAGAGUGAAGAAAAGUCGAUUAAAAUUAAACAUACUAAUCCAUAAUUAAAGACGGUAAAAGCUUCACGAAGGAAGACCUCGUUAACUACUUGUUUAAUUUAAUCCAUGGAAUACAUGAUCUCUAACAGCGUGAAACUGCACAAACUAUAAGCAUUACUGUUUGAAUCAUGACUAAGUUCUGAGUUGGGAUAGUUGGAAGACUGAUGAAUCCGGAUCGGAGGGUUGAGACGAACGAGGGACCCCAAACCCGAAACCCAUUUGAACACCCCAGGAAGGUGGACUCAUACUCAUCCUCCUAACUUUUCUAAAAUGCAGACUCCUCAUCGACCCAACGAGUUCACUCACGGAGUUAAACCCCAGCGACCCACACAACGACAUUGGUGGAGACUCAGUCGUCGACGGUUACGAUGACAGAGAGGAGUCGCGAUUUAGGGACAUGUUUUGGCUUUGGGUUAUGGCUUAGUCACUUAGGAGUUAGCGUAGAGGCAGGCCACCAAAGAGAGAAAGAUUUGAGGGCCAAGGGACAGAGAUCAGAGAGACUGAGAGAUUGAUCGAUGAGAUCUGAGAGACUGAGAAAUCGAUCGAUUUAGGUUUUGACUUUUGAGUAGUGAGAGAUAUCAGAUAGAGAGAGAGUUCGAUUUGGAUUUUGAGUAGUGAGAGAGUCGACAAUCGAGACUCUUCAGUUAUGCUUUUGGUUACGCUUUGAAUUUUUAAACCUUAAUUUCUUUAUUUUUAAUUCAGAUAUUCGGUUAACUGAAUAACUUAAAUUUAA
rnacentral:lncRNA from 1 species